GACGAACGCUGGCGGCGUGCCUAAUACAUGCAAGUUGAGCGCUUAAGGUUGGUACUUGUACCAACUGGAUGAGCAGCGAACGGGUUAGUAACGCGUGGGGAAUCUGCCUUUGAGCGGGGGACAACAUUUGGAAACGAAUGCUAAUACCGCAUAAAAACUUUAAACACAAGUUUUAAGUUUGAAAGAUGCAAUUGCAUCACUCAAAGAUGAUCCCGCGUUGUAUUAGCUAGUUGGUGAGGUAAAGGCUCACCAAGGCGAUGAUACAUAGCCGACCUGAGAGGGUGAUCGGCCACAUUGGGACUGAGACACGGCCCAAACUACUACGGGAGGCAGCAGUAGGGAAUCUUCGGCAAUAGACGAAAGUCUGACCGAGCAACGCCGCGUGAGUGAAGAAGGUUUUCGGAUCGUAAAACUCUGUUGGUAGAGAAGAACGUUGGUGAGAGUGGAAAGCUCAUCAAGUGACGGUAACUACCCAGAAAGGGACGGCUAACUACGUG
rnacentral:rRNA from 1 species